CAUAUGGAGUGCAGAGGUGCUGAUAUGAGGAGCGGACAAUGCAUGAAAGCCCUCAGCAUGGGUCCUGUGUCUCAUUGUCCCAUGGUACCCUCCUGUCACUUUCAUUUUGCGCCUUCCCGUCCAGAGUCAGGCCAACUUUGAUACAAGGAAGGGGGCUGCGAAGGACGAUAGAGGGGAGAGAAAGGGGCAUGUUUUUAAAGAAGUAGUAGAGGAGGUAGAUGGAGUCUGUGAAGUAUAAAAUAAGUCUGUUUUUUUUUUAUUUUAUUUUAAUCGAAAAGCACAGCUCUAAAGAAAAGGAAGCCGUCCACCCUGGGAUAAAGCAGGGCACACCUUCGUGAUGCACCGUGCAGUCCUGUGACACCUGGUUAAAAAUGACAACAGCCUCGAUAAAGCUAAUGAGAGUAAUGAGAGCUUAGACACAGAGCUGCGCACAAAAGCUCAACCUUUUUUUUUCCUGAUAUUCAAGAGCCAAAAGAGGGAGAAACUCGACUCAACCCCCACAAUGGUUCUCGAGGACACACUAAACUAGACAACAGGGUUGUUGACUGAGAACCGAAUACGUAACAAAAAAAAAAAAAACAGCAAACUAUUUGAGACCCAUUUUCAGGUAAGACUGCUAUUCUGAGCUUUAAAAAGCAGUUACCAUCAUAGCAGUAUAUUCAGCUGGGGCCGCGGACGGAGGAGGAGCCUGACCCACUGAAAGAUAUCCAGAGUGACUAUUAUUACUUGCUGCUGCUCUUCUCUACAGUCUGAGAAGGAAUACUGGAAAGUGCAGUGGUUACCAUCAAUUAUUUAUCAGGCCGUUUGUGCUUGUCAGUCUGAUUAGCAUUAGUGUAAUCACUGCUCUUCGGGGGAGAAGAAAGACCGCUCUCUCUCAUCUGAAGGUUGCUCUCUCCCAGCUUGUAUAGAGUGACACCUAUGGGUCUGGUUGGGACUCUGCACUCACUGGGUUAGGGG